ensembl:lncRNA
AGCAUACGCUCUCACUACCAGUGAGUGGCUAUUCUGAUUGAUGGGAGUUUGGCCCCGCUGUUUUGGCUUUCUAUCGGUGACCCCGGAGAAUGGACAGGAAAAGUUUCACCCCAGAGGAUUGCUGUUGGUGACUGGAGAUGUUGUGGGACUGGGAAGCUGAUAUACCCAGAGACAACUGCUGCUGCACCGCUCAUGUAAUUCUGGAAAAAUCACCGGGCCAGUCCGCCUGCAUUACUCAUAGCACAGGUGGACCCAAACCUCCAUAAAAAUAUCUGUGGACUUAUGCAUAUAGAUGUCGUCAUUUUAAUGAUCCCCCUUAUUUUCCUAUAAACCAGAGAUUACAAGUAUAUAUAGUAUUAUUAUUGUUUUUC